AGGAUCCAGAUUUGAGACAAGCUGAAUUCAUUAGGCUGUUGUGUUUUGGGCUCCCAAACGUUAAUGGUGGCCUUAGCUCCAUAAUACUUAUCUCCUUCCACAUAUACUAUCGCAUGCUAAUAAAGACUCCAAGCAAGAAAAACAAAUAUUAUCUGUCAGAAAAAAUUAAUUAUAGAACCAACCAAGAUACUUGAAGCUAUAGCUGAAAUUAAUAAUAAAACUAAUUAAGCUUCUUUAAUUUCCUUCACUAUCUAUGCGUUCGCUUAAAUGCUAGCUAGUUAGCUACUGAAUUAAAUGAGACAAGAUUAACUAAUAAUUAUUAAUUAAGUACUAUGAGUAUAACUUUGAAGUACGUACCUGGUGGCCAGUUUGAGUAAUGAGGUCAGGUUGUGCAGACCUGGGUUGAUGAGGAAUUUUAGUGGGCUUCUUCUUGCCAAACCUUUCAACAGAGCUUGCCCUUAAUACAUCUUCUUUUUUAGUUCGCCUUAUGGGAAUUGUUCCUUCAGGACACCUUCCUUUCAAGUGCCACAACUGGGUUAUUGGUUUUGAUGAUGUUGCUUUCUGUGCAGACACCCUUUUGCUUUCCUCGAACUUAGUCCCUUCUGGGUGGAAAUUUGGUCUCGUCUG
rnacentral:lncRNA from 1 species